rnacentral:lncRNA from 1 species
GCACGCGCUGCUGUGCUCCGCUUAACUCACUCCGUAUCUGUGCGCGUUUGGAGCGCGCGCGCACCAGGUAAACUAAAGGCACGAGCGGCGCUGCUUUACUGUGUUAAGUGCUGUUCGGCUCGCGCUCGCUUACCUGCGGUGUGUUGGAUUAUUAUGAGCGUGGAGUGAGAUCCGGGACUUUUCUGCACUUUGGAGGACGAUGCGCGCGAGGCUGCAGCACACACGCGCUGUCCAGGUGGAAUGGUGAGGGUUUGGGUGAUGAAUUGAGAGUGAGGGCAUGUCUCUGUAUCUGCUUCUGAUGUUCCUAACACUGGCCUCACACACACAGGUGUCCUCGGCUCUGAAGGAUCUGAUGAAACAAUGGGAGACUUACAGGAACGAGUGCAUUCAGAACUUCAGGAACUCUCCACCCCCUGCAGGUUAUAAUCACAACACACACUCUGAUCUACUGAAUCGAAUAUCAAACACUGACCUUUCAUUUC